CCUACGGGAGGCAGCAGUGGGGAAUAUUGGACAAUGGGGGGAACCCUGAUCCAGCGACGCCGCGUGAGUGAAGAAGUAUUUCGGUAUGUAAAGCUCUAUCAGCAGGGAAGAAAAUGAGGGUACCUGACUAAAAAGCCCCGGGUAACUAAGUGCCAGCAGCCGCGGGAAUACGUAGGGGGCAAGCGUUUUUCGGAUUUACUGGGUGGAAAGGGAGCGUAGACGGGGCAGCAAGUCUGAUGUGAAAGGUCGGGGCCCAACCCCGGGACUGCAUUGGAAACUGUUGAUCUGGAGUACAGGAGAGGUAAGCGGAAUUCCUAGUGUAGCGGUGAAAUGCGUAGAUAUUAGGAGGAACACCAGUGGCGAAGGCGGCUUACUGGACUGUAACUGACGUUGAGGCUCGAAAGCGUGGGGAGCAAACAGGAUUAGAUACCCCUGUAGUC
rnacentral:rRNA from 1 species